rnacentral:rRNA from 1 species
GGUUCGAUCCUGGCUCAGAUUGAACGCUGGCGGGAUGCUACACAUGCAAGUCGAACGGCAGCACGGACUUCGGUCUGGUGGCGAGUGGCGAACGGGUGAGUAAUGUAUCGGAACGUGCCCACAAGUAGCGGGGAUAACUACGCGAAAGCGUAGCUAAUACCGCAUACGCCCUUCGAGGAAAGCGGGGGACCUUCGGGCCUCGCACUAUUAGAGCGGCCGAUAUCGGAUUAGCUAGUUGGUGGGAAGUAACGGCUCACCAAGGCGACGAUCCGUAGCUGGUUUGAAGGACGACCAGCCACACUGGGACUGAGACACGGCCCAGACUCCUGCAGGAGAGCAGCAGUGAAAUUUUGGACAAUGGGGGAAACCCUGAUCAGCCAUCCCGCGUGUGCGAUGAAGGCCUUCGGGUUGUAAAGCACUUUUGGCAAGGAAAGAAACGGCACCGGGAUAAUACCCCGUGCAACUGACGGUACCUGCAGAAUAAGCACCGGCUAACUACGUGCCAGCAGCCGCGGUAAUACGUAGGGUGCAAGCGUUAAUCGGAAUUACUGGGCGUAAAGCGUGCGCAGGCGGUUCCGGAAGAAAGAUGUGAAAUCCCAGAGCUUAACUUUGGAACUGCAUUUUUAACUACCGAGCUAGAGUGUGUCAGAGAGUGGAAUUCCGCGUGUAGCAGUGAAAUGCGUAGAUAUGCGAACACCGAUAGCGAAGGCAGCCUCCUGGGAUAACACUGACGCUCAUGCACGAAAAAGCGUGGGAGCAAACAGGAUUAGAUACCCUGGUAGUCCACGCCUAAACGAUGUCAACUAGCUGUUGGGGCCUUCGGGCCUUGGUAGCGCAAGCUAACGCGUGAAGUUGACCGCCUGGGGAGUACAGUCGCAAGAUUAAAACUCAAAGGAAUUGACGGGGACCCGCACAAGCAGUGGAUGAUGUGGAUUAAUUCGAUGCAACGCGAAAAACCUUACCUACCCUUGACAUGUCUGAAUCCCGAAGAGAUUUAGGAGUGCUCGCAAGAGAACCGGAACACAGGUGCUGCAUGGCUGUCGUCAGCUCGUGUCGUGAGAUGUUGGGUUAAGUCCCGCAGCGAGCGCAACCCUUGUCGUGAGAUUUGCUACGAAGGGCACUCUAAUGAGACUGCCGGUGACAAACCGGAGGAAGGUGAGGAUGACGUCAAGUCCUCAUAGCCCUUAUGGGUAGGGCUUCACGUCAUACAAUGGUCGGGACAGAGGGUCGCCAACCCGCGAAGAAUAAUCCCGAAAACCCGAUGUAGUCCGGAUCGCAGUGCAACUCGACUGCGUGAAGUCGGAAUCGCUAGUAAUCGCGGAUCAGCAUGUCGCGGUGAAUACGUUCCAGGUCUUGUACACGCCCGUCACACCAUGGGAGUGGGUUUUACAGAAGUAGUUAGCCUAACCGUAAGGAGGGCGAUUACCACGGUAGGAUUCAUGACUGGGGUAAGAGUCGUAACAAGGUAA